UACGAAGGUGGCAAGCGUUGUUCGGAUUUAUUGGGCGUAAAGCGUUCGCAGGCGGUUUAUAAAGUCAGAUGUGAAAUCCUAUAGCUCAACUAUAGAACUGCAUUUGAAACUUAUAGACUAGAGUAUGAGAGGGGUGAAGGGAAUUUCUAGUGUAGGGGUGAAAUCCGUAGAUAUUAGAAGGAACACCGGUCGCGAAGGCGCUUCACUGGCUCAUUACUGACGCUCAGGAACGAAAGCUAGGGUAGCCAACGGG
rnacentral:rRNA from 1 species